AGGGAAUCGUUCUCUGUGCUAUUAUUUUAUUAAUACAGUGGAUGAGCUCCUGAAGGCUGCUUUCUUACCUCUCUUCUCAGAUCUGUUUGGGUAAAUCGGAGGCCUUCUCUGUGUGAACGUGUCGCAUGAAAAACAUAAGGAAGAUUUCCUUCCUGUGAAAACCGGAGUUCAACAGUAGCAGAAACAUUCCUGUUUCCCCCACCUCUGAUACAAAUUUUGGUUAAUGACGGAGAUGAAACCUGCUCUUCAGAAACAUUGACUCGAGCUGCAUACUGCUUGUAGCGCUGACAAAAACAAACCUGUGAUGGACUCGGCAAGGAGCUGUUCUGCUCGUUGGUGGAGGAAGCACAAGCACCUCUGCACGCUCCGCCUGGCUAGAGAACCUGGACCAGAUUCUGUUGUCAUGCUGGUGCGGAAGAGCAAUUCAACUGGUGCCAGAGGAUUUCCACUGACAUAA
rnacentral:lncRNA from 1 species